GACGAACGCUGGCGGCGUGCCUAAUACAUGCAAGUUGAGCGCUGAAGGUUGGUACUUGUGCCAACUGGAUGAGCAGCGAACGGGUGAGUAACGCGUGGGGAAUCUGCCUUUGAGCGGGGGACAACAUUUGGAAACGAAUGCUAAUACCGCAUAAAAACUUUAAACACAAGUUUUAAGUUUGAAAGAUGCAAUUGCAUCACUCAAAGAUGAUCCCGCGUUGUAUUAGCUAGUUGGUGAGGUAAAGGCUCACCAAGGCGAUGAUACAUAGCCGACCUGAGAGGGUGAUCGGCCACAUUGAGACUGAGACACGGCCCAAACUCCUACGGGAGGCAGCAGUAGGGAAUCUUCGGCAAGGGACGAAAGUCUGACCGAGCAACGCCGCGGGAGUGAAGAAGGUUGUCGGAUCGUAAAACUCUGUUGGUAGAGAAGAACGUUGGUGAGAGUGGAAAGCUCAUCAAGUGACGGUAACUACCCAGAAAGGGACGGCUAACUACGUG
rnacentral:rRNA from 1 species